UAUAGAGAUUUUAAAAGUGAUAACCUUUUGUUACAAGUUUUCAGCUAAUUUUUGUUAUGCAUUUUACAAAUUUUAACCAAGCCCCAGGAAUUUACAAAUCCAAAGUUAAAGAAAUUACGUCCUAAGAUAUUAUUUUUUGAGGUAGGGGGCAAAGAAAUUUAGAGAUAAAAUGUGUUAGAGUACAAAGUAGGUAGAGCUUAAGGAUUUUCAUCUCUUCAUUACACUUUUUUAAAAUUUAAAACACUUUUGUAACAGUUCUUUUCUAUCAGUGUAAGCCAGUUUCCAUUUUUAGUAUAACUCUAUCCUUCAUGUGCAAAUAUAUAUAUGAAGUAAGUUAAAAGUAACCUAUGACUGAGCAAUGUCUAAUGGAAUAUAUUAAGUUUUUACCUUUGAGCUGUACAGUCAGGGGAAGGUACUAUCCAUUUUGUGGAAUGUGGGGAAUUUGUAUGUAUUUGCUCCUUGUCUUUUUGAAGAACAAUCUGUAAAGUCACUAAGAGCAAACACUACAGGAUUUUUAGAUAUAAUUUUAGGUCAUACCCAUUGAGUAUCUUCAAAAACUCUUAAAAGUUGAUGUACUGGGUAGUGAUUAUCUAUAGGUCCUGAGUAACAUGAUAAUGCAAUCUGCCAGUGGUCAUCAAUUUAAAUCAACUAAGCUGCAUAUUAUCUACUGGCAGUAAUUUCUAUAGGCUCCAUACCAGGAAGUUGUUUAAAAGGUAUCCUUUCCAUUAUCAUUAAUGAUAAUAUCAUUUCUUGGUAAUAAGGAGAUGGAGGUACUUGUGGAGAAUCAUACCUCACAGAAAUGUCUAUAAUACUGUUACCUUCUGGACAUAUACUUCCAGUAGGAAAUGAACACUCAUUUUCCCACAUGGAAGUACUGAGAUAUUUCCAACAAUCAGAGAAUGAAAGGGUACUGAAGGAUUUCCCUUGAGUCCCAGGAGAGAUUCCUGGAAUGGGAAACCUGACUUCUGGUGAGUUAUGAGGAGAGCUGAUUAGCAAGGAGGCAAUGUCAGUUUCCCAUGACAUCAGGGUGGGUCUCAUGCCUGGACAUUCUAUUGUAUCCUGGAGACUUUAGAAUGUUAUCUGAUGUCACCUGUGUUGUAGCAACACCAACUGCCCUUGGACAGUUGGUUCAGUGCCCUUACAGUUCAGCCAUGAACAUGUUGGGAAGACUCAGAAGUCUAUUGGGUAGAGAGAAAGGAGAGGGAAGAGAGACCAGAGAAAGGCAGACACAAGCUGGCCUUCAGCCUCAAUGUAAAACAACAAGAAAGAAAUGGUCCAGAAGAUGGUACAGGGCCUCUAAGGAGCCACCACCCACUCCAACCCGCCUCACAAAGAAGCAAGUGAAGCAGAAGGUGGAGAGCUUGACCACUCAGCUCCAGGUGAUGACCGCCCAACGGAAUGAUCUGAGAGAUCGCCUCAUCUUAGUAACAGAAGGAUCCUUGGACAACAGGCCCUACCACAGGCCAAAUCCUUUCUAUGAAAAGCUCAAGAUGGAACAUCAGCAGGUCAUGUCAGACCUGCAGAAUUUCGAGAAUGAGAAUUGGGAGGCCUCACAGAAGCUCAGCGAGCUGACCAAAGAGAAAAUCUUCCUUUGUGAUCUGCAGAGCCGGCUCCUGAUGGAGCAGAGUCAGCUCAAAAAGAAGUUGGAUAUGCUGAGGCAAGAGAAGGAGAACCUACUGGAGGAUUGGGUCCUGCUGAAGCAACACUUGGGUGACUUGCAAGUGCUCAGUAAGGAUCAAGAGGAGACCAGUGACCUCCAGAACCAGCAACAGCAGGAGCAGCAAAGAAUGGAAGAGAGACUCCAGAGCUUGCUGAAGCAGAGGGAGCUGGUCACACAGCAGAAACACCUGGCAUUAAAGCUGCAGCAUCAUUUGACUGUCUCUCAGAUGAGGUAGGAACCCAGGCUGAAGUUGGGGUCAGAAAAUCUCCAACAUGAGCUGGAACAAUCCACAGCUCAGGAUGAGAGCCUCCUGACAACAGAGCUGCUGAAGCAGGAGCACUAAGUGUCAUAACACCCUUUAUGAGAACUGAGAAGGAUGAAGGAAUCCAUAGUCAACUAGAAACCCUGACAUUCUCCACUCUAUGAUCAAGGCCUCCUCAAAACAAGACAUAUACUACUAGUUGUAAAAUCACCGGUGAGGCAAAUAUCAUCUGCCCUGCUGUGGUCCAUCCAUAACCUGAUCCAUGUGUCUCCCGACUCACUAGUUACAGAGAAACCAUCAAAAAGAUGCUUGAGAUAAAAAAAAUCCACUAAGGAUUAUGCAGAAAAACUGACAUCUACGAGCAAGUGUUUCCAGUGAGGGUCACAACAACAUGGAGAGAGAAUAUGUUUCUGUUCAUCAUUAUUCUGAAAGUUUAUUGCUACAAACUUUUGGUAGCUGACUGAGUGUUCAGCCCUUCAUAUGUGCAGCAAGAUAUGUCAAUGAAGACUGUGUUGAUGUCAUGCUGCUAUUCAGACAGACCACACUUAGGAAGCAUCAUAUUCUUACUCCAGUCCAGUGCUGGACCUACUCAGUUUCAUGCACAUGUGGUGGUGAAGUGAAUUGGUCUGGAAAAUGAUUUAGGAAGGAUGCCACCAUGAGCUUUUAUGUCUUUGGGCAGCAGAUGCUCCCCAUGUCCUUUUUUGCUCUUGAAUCGGCACACAGACACAUUUUGGCUGACAGAUUCAUAUAGUGGCCAACAUAGCAUAAGAUCAACCUUGGCAAGGACUUAACCUACAAAGCCCCAAAGUGGCAUGACUGCACUUGUCUUGAAGAGGUCAUUUCAAUUCAUGGUUGUCUUCCAACUUGUAUCCAAAGCUAGCCACAGGAUGUAGGACCCUGUACUAAAUCUGCAUGAUGAGAAUGCUUCUUAGUGUAAAUAGUUUUGGUUUGUUUUUGGGUUUUCUUGAAUUGAGAUUUUGAUGUUCUUUGUUUUGUUUUGAUGUUUUGUUAUUUUUGGUUCUUUUGUUCUUUCUUUGAUUUUAUAUUUUGCUAAGGCUAUACACUGGAUGUACUAAAUGCCUUUUUAAAACCCCAUAUUCAGUCAAAUUUCUGUAAUUUCAUGAAUAAAAAGGCAAUGUACAACUAUUCAUUCUUAAAAUACAUUUCGUAA